GGUUAAGCGACUAAGCGUACACGGUGGAUGCCCUGGCAGUCAGAGGCGAUGAAGGACGUGCUAAUCUGCGAUAAGCGUCGGUAAGGUGAUAUGAACCGUUAUAACCG
rnacentral:rRNA from 8 species